AGGGAAUCUUCCACAACGGACGCAAGUCUGAUGGAGCAACGCCGCGUGAGUGAAGAAGGUCUUCGGAUCGUAAAGCUCUGUUGUUGGUGAAGAAGGAUAGAGGCAGUAACUGGUCUUUAUUUGACGGUAAUCAACCAGAAAGUCACGGCUAACUACGUGCCAGCAGCCGCGGUAAUACGUAGGUGGCAAGCGUUGUCCGGAUUUAUUGGGCGUAAAGCGAGCGCAGGCGGAAUGAUAAGUCUGAUGUGAAAGCCCACGGCUCAACCGUGGAACUGCAUCGGAAACUGUCAUUCUUGAGUGCAGAAGAGGAGAGUGGAACUCCAUGUGUAGCGGUGGAAUGCGUAGAUAUAUGGAAGAACACCAGUGGCGAAGGCGGCUCUCUGGUCUGCAACUGACGCUGAGGCUCGAAAGCAUGGGUAGCGAACAGGAUUAGAUACCCUGGUAGUCCAUGCCGUAAACGAUGAGCGCUAGGUGUUGGGGACUUUCCGGUCCUCAGUGCCGCAGCAAACGCAUUAAGCGCUCCGCCUGGGGAGUACGACCGCAAGGUUGAAAC
rnacentral:rRNA from 1 species